rnacentral:lncRNA from 1 species
CAACAAAUACUUAUUAAGCUCCUACUCUAUUCAGGGUAUGGGGAAUACAAAAAUGGAUGGCAAAUGUCUUUCCAUACACUGUUUAUAGUCUUUUUUUUUUUUUUUUUUCUGAGACAGGGUCUUACCUUGUCACCCAGGCUGGAGUGCAGUGGCAUGGUCAUAGAUCACUGCAGCCUCAAACUCCUGUGCGCCAGUGAUCCUCCCGCUUCAGCCUCCAGAGAAGCUGAGAUAGUUUGACAGAUUUAAUGAAGUAACUAACAGGAUAAAUGAUUCAUUCAAAGCAACUGAACAGGUUUUUUUCAUGUCUAACACCCAUGGUUCCACCUGGACCUGCCAACCCCACUCUGUGGCCCCAACCAGAAAUGAUUCAGCCAGCAGGAGGACAGCUUCGACUCCCACUGUGAGUCCAUCUUCUUCCCAACCAAUCAGCAGCAAGCACCUGUUACCAGCCACCCCACCCCUUCAUCCAAACUGCCUUUGAAAAACCCCUGCCCUAGGAGCUGUGCCCAGCCCCGUGUCCAUUAAACACUUUCUCCACUACAAUGCAGUGGUCUUUCUUUACGCAGUGCUCAGGAAAAACUCCUUUGUUGGUUACAUUAGUAUUCACCGUCA